rnacentral:rRNA from 1 species
AUUGAACGCUGGCGGCAUGCCUUACACAUGCAAGUCGAACGGCAGCACGGGUGCUUGCACCUGGUGGCGAGUGGCGAACGGGUGAGUAAUACAUCGGAACAUGUCCUGUAGUGGGGGAUAGCCCGGCGAAAGCCGGAUUAAUACCGCAUACGAUCUACGGAUGAAAGCGGGGGACCUUCGGGCCUCGCGCUAUAGGGUUGGCCGAUGGCUGAUUAGCUAGUUGGUGGGGUAAAGGCCUACCCAGGCGACGAUCAGUAGAUGGUCUGAGAGGACGACCAGCCACACUGGGACUGAGACACGGCCCAGACUCCUACGGGAGGCAGCAGUGGGGAAUUUUGGACAAUGGGCGAAAGCCUGAUCCAGCAAUGCCGCGUGUGUGAAGAAGGCCUUCGGGUUGUAAAGCACUUUUGUCCGGAAAGAAAUCCUUGGCUCUAAUACAGUCGGGGGAUGACGGUACCGGAAGAAUAAGCACCGGCUAACUACGUG